AUUGAACGCUGGCGGCAGGCCUAACACAUGCAAGUCGAGCGGCAGCGGAAAGUAGCUUGCUACUUUGCCGGCGAGCGGCGGACGGGUGAGUAAUGUCUGGGAAACUGCUGAUGGAGGGGGAUAACUACUGGAAACGGUAGCUAAUACCGCAUGACCUCGAAAGAGCAAAGUGGGGGAUCUUCGGACCUCACGCCAUCGGAUGUGCCCAGAUGGGAUUAGCUAGUAGGUGAGGUAAUGGCUCACCUAGGCGACGAUCCCUAGCUGGUCUGAGAGGAUGACCAGCCACACUGGAACUGAGACACGGUCCAGACUCCUACGGGAGGCAGCAGUGGGGAAUAUUGCACAAUGGGCGCAAGCCUGAUGCAGCCAUGCCGCGUGUGUGAAGAAGGCCUUAGGGUUGUAAAGCACUUUCAGCGAGGAGGAAGGCAUCAUACUUAAUACGUGUGGUGAUUGACGUUACUCGCAGAAGAAGCACCGGCUAACUCCGUGCCAGCAGCCGCGGUAAUACGGAGGGUGCAAGCGUUAAUCGGAAUUACUGGGCGUAAAGCGCACGCAGGCGGUUUGUUAAGUCAGAUGUGAAAUCCCCGCGCUUAACGUGGGAACUGCAUUUGAAACUGGCAAGCUAGAGUCUUGUAGAGGGGGGUAGAAUUCCAGGUGUAGCGGUGAAAUGCGUAGAGAUCUGGAGGAAUACCGGUGGCGAAGGCGGCCCCCUGGACAAAGACUGACGCUCAGGUGCGAAAGCGUGGGGAGCAAACAGG
rnacentral:rRNA from 1 species